rnacentral:ncRNA from 1 species
UUCAUCAAGAGCAACGGAAGGACUGGCCUAAUGAAGUUGCGGCAACCUACAGGAUUGUAAGGUGCCAAUUCCAGCAGGAAUACCCUGACAGAUGAA